UACAGAGGUCUCAAGCGUUGUUCGGAUUCAUUGGGCGUAAAGGGUGCGUAGGUGGCGCGGUAAGUCGGGUGUGAAAUCUCGGAGCUUAACUCCGAAAUUGCAUUCGAUACUGCCGUGCUCGAGGACUGGAGAGGAGACUGGAAUUCAUGGUGUAGCAGUGAAAUGCGUAGAGAUCAUGAGGAAGACCAGUGGCGAAGGCGGGUCUCUGGGCCAUUACUGACGCUGAGGAGCGAAAGCGUGGGGAGCGAACAGG
rnacentral:rRNA from 1 species